GUGUACAGCCAUGCCACCCUGAAUGUGCCCAAUCUCAUCUGAUCUCGGAAGCUAAUCAGGGUCAAGCCCAGUUAGUACGUGGAUGGAAGACCACUUUGGAAUACCAGGUACUGUAGGAG
rnacentral:rRNA from 1 species